CGGGAGCCGCGCCUCAGCUCCCGCCCCGCCGCCAUCUUGUUGGGGCGGGGCAGGGCGGGCACGCCGGGCAGUGUAGUCUUGGUUCUGGUCCUGGUCCUGGUCCUGGCCCUGGCUUUAACGCGGGAUAAAAGUGAAAAAAACAAAACAAAACUGAAAGCUGUGAAGUGUUUCAGCCUCAGCUCCCAGUCCGUAAAGCGAGCUGCUGUGACAGUUAUCGGGGCUGAAGUGCAGGAUAACGUUUUGCACCCAAUUAGCGUGCGUCCUGCGUCAAACUUUACAGACCCACACUGCAGUGCCCUUUCUGAAAUACCUGACGUGAUUUUUAUUUUUUUUUUUUUGGUCAUUUCUGUCAGUGCAAUGAAGAGCGAAACCAGACCCAGAGCUUAAGCCACAUGUAGUGCCUUAAACCACCUCACCACAAGGGCAAGGGUGGCACCGAGAGGUCUCUGGCUGCAGGCCACCCGCACGGUGUCUGCUCCUCGCUGAGAGGAAAACUACCUGGCACAGCCAUGCUAGGAUGAUGUUGUGCCGGCCCAGAGCUCGCCUGCUGCCGUGCAGCUCCAAGGAGCAAGAGCGCACGUGGAGGGGACCAGCCUCCGUCCUUCAAGAGCCUGCAGGCAUUUGGGCAAAGUCUGCUCUGCAGCAUGCACAAGAAGUCAGCCAUGGUGACAGAAUAAAUUCCAUGAAACCGCAAGACAAAAUCAAGAGAUGGAAAACUGAAUGGAAGAAUUUCAUCGAAACCCCACUUGAUCGCCGUCUCCUGCAUUGCCUGCCUUAA
rnacentral:lncRNA from 1 species